UGGGGGUGGGGGGUCAACAUUGCUGCAAGUUUUGUUAAUCUAAAAUCGAUUUUACAUAUAUCCAUAUAGGUAAAUCAAUUUUUCCCAAAUUAAGUUAAGAAGGGAGGUAGGGUGGUCAGCGAAAAAACUAUGUGAAUUAAGUUUUUUUAUCCUACAUUGAACUUUUGAUGUCGUCCCUUAAUUGAAAGAUAAUUUACUCCUUGU
rnacentral:lncRNA from 1 species